GGAUGAGGCUCGGGCACCCCCGCCCCCACCGCCCGGCCACCCCGGCCCGGGGCGCCCUCCUCCCCUGAGCUGGCGGGUUGUGUAUUUCCUCUUGUGCACGGAUGCCAAUCCCCAAGGUGGUGGCGAGCCAAACGGGGCUGCCGCGGGCGGCUGGAGCUGGACACUGUUUGUAACUGAAACCCUGGCCUGCGGCUUUGGCCACCUGCUCCUGAAACCAGCCCGCUGUUUCCGCCCACUGAGACGCUCACAAGUGCAAAGACAGCCCGCGGAGUGGGAGGAAAUACUUGCAAAUCAUGAUCUGACAAGGGAUUCACGUGCAGCACAGAUAAAGAAUCAAUAACGGAAAGAGACAUAACCCGAUGAAAACCAAGCAAAGGGUUUGAGUGGACAUUUCUGCAAAGGGACGCGUGGCCCAUAGGCGCCUGCGAAGUUCAGGGGACCAGUGAGACCAGGGCCCCGCCCACGCGGCAGGCCGCCCACCCAAGAGGGCAGACAGAGGCGCCGAUGAGGACGCGGGGACUGGAACCCACGCCCCUGCCCAGCCGCCGCCCAGUGUGCGGCCAAGCGGAACACUGUCUGGCGGCAACUCAGUCAGGUGAACCCAGGACGACCCCGUGACCGGCAGUCCCUCUCCUGGGGCCAGACCUGGAGAUCUGAAAACAGGCGUGCACGCCAAAACCUGUACACGGUGCUCACGGCAGCACGGCUGACACUCGCCAAGGGGGUGGCAACCCAAGUGUCCCUGGCAGAACAGACACAAAGGCCACAUGGCGCACGAUCCCAUUUAUACGAAACGUCCAGAACAGGCAAAGCACAGACAGAAGCACGUGGGUGGGUGCCGGGGCUGGGGAGGCGGGCGGGGAGGGGGAUGAUGGAAAUGUUCCAGAACUAGGUAGAGAUGGUUGCACAACAUGCACAAGAUGAAUGCACUAAAUGCCACCGAAUUGUUUACUGUAAAGGGGUGAAUUGCAUGGUAAGUGAAUAUAUCUUUUAAAAAAAGAGAAGGGACAGGCGAGGGUGCAGAAGUGGGGCAGGCGUGCCCGUGUCAUGCCCUGCAGUGCACUGGCUCAGGGGCGGGGGCAGAGGCAGAGAAAACAGCUCUUUCUGACCAAACCCAGAGGCUGCUGGACAGACAGAGGGGGAAGGUAUCCGGGGAGAUAAACUGAGGCAGCCUGCCUCCCGGAUGGAGACAUGCUUCCCACUUCUUGGUGGGAGCUGGGGUGAAGAGGAGUCAGACCAGGAGAGCUAGAGAUGGGGGUGUGGGAGGGGGGCGGCGAGGGCUCUGGAGAGGCCGCCAGACUGGGACCCUACUGCCACCCGGGCUGCGGCACCCGCGCAGGCUGAGCCGCAGCAGGAAGCAUCUGUGAACAGCUCACGCCAGGCCCGGCUCUCCGGCUCCAUGACAGCGCCCCCUGCAGCGGGAGAACAGACCCAUAGGCCCCCAGCCCCCGUGGGCUUGACUCCAUCCCCCGUCACCCACUCCGCAGCAACCGCACCUGCCUCUCUUCACAGUCUUGGCCCGAGCACCACCUCUUCCAGGAAGCCCUCCCUCACCCACUGUUCUUCACGCUUUCACUUGUCACUCUCCCAGGUUUAUCUGUGGGAUGGUUGGAUUAGCGUCUGCCUUCCCCACCCGACCAGAAGCCCCUCAUGAUGGGACCGAUCCUGACCUGUGUGGGACUGGGCUUGGUAUACAGUAGGUGCUCAACGCUGACCUUCCGAAUCAAUGAAUGAACGAAGCUGUGAAACGGAGACUACCACAGUCUGAACUCCUGGAGCUGUGGGGAGCAGCUGAGGGACUGCCGCUCAGAGGAGCCCCAAAUACUGAGUACACAGCAGGAGCUCAGUAUCACUGGCCCAGAGCUCUGCUAAGCAGGACUGCUCAACCCAUGAGGUAGGGACCCAACCAGUGCUCUGAACUUUUUCUUUUACAUAUGGGCAAGCGGAAGCCCAGAGAGGAACUCCUGUGGGUCAUUUCCUGGCAGCAGAAACAGAACUCAAAGUGGCUUCAACAAAAAGGAAUCUGAUGAAAAAGAAAAUCCCAGGUGGUGGGCUUCAGGCAUGGCUGCAUCCAGGGACUAGGGCUCCUUUUCUCUGUACUGGUGUCCUCCCUGCAGCUUCUCUCCAGGCAGGCUCAGUCUUCUCCCAGUAGAAACAGGGUGCCCAUUUUCCCCACUCACUUCAGCAGCACCCCAAGCCCUGCUCAGUGAAGGCCUAACUCCAACCCCUUGACCAGAGGGCUGUGCCUGGAGGCCUCCUCCAAGGGCUGGAGCCCAGCCGAAAGGAUGCGGAGAGCGAUCUUCAAGGGAGGGCACGCCGGAUGGCAGCGUCAGCAAACGCUUGAGCAAACGCGAGGAGGUGGCAACUCCAAGAGAGGAGCAUUUGCGGAGCAGCCAGCCCCGCGGCAGCUAAAGCACCUGGGCCAUGGCCUCAGUUUCCCCACCUGGAAGCAGAGGGCAAACGGAGGCUCCCCAAGCGGCGGGGCCGGGACCACUGCCCCCUGGCCUUGUCGGCUGCCAGACCUCCCUCACCCAGAGGCCUGUCUCUUUUGCCACAAAAUUCAGCAUCUCUUGGUUUCAAUCUCAGCCUCUCCCCCUCCCCCUGCCCUCGUCGAAAACCGGAAAAGUCUGUUUUGCAAACUCCGUGGGAGGCGGAAGGGGCGCGGGGCUGCCUGGGAGAGGCGCGCCGCUGCCGCCCCCUGGUGGCCGUGGGGGAACGCGCGGCAACUCGCUUAAGGACGGGGCCGGGCGCGCGGGGCGGGGCCGGG
rnacentral:lncRNA from 1 species